rfam:Nomascus leucogenys chromosome 5, whole genome shotgun sequence.
AAAAAGGCUCUUCUCAGAGUCACACUGUUUAGCUGUAAAUAUCAUU